rnacentral:rRNA from 1 species
GAUGAACGCUGGCGGCGUGCCUAAUACAUGCAAGUCGAGCGAACAGACGAGGAGCUUGCUCCUCUGACGUUAGCGGCGGACGGGUGAGUAACACGUGGAUAACCUACCUAUAAGACUGGGAUAACUUCGGGAAACCGGAGCUAAUACCGGAUAAUAUAUUGAACCGCAUGGUUCAAUAGUGAAAGACGGUUUUGCUGUCACUUAUAGAUGGAUCCGCGCCGCAUUAGCUAGUUGGUAAGGUAACGGCUUACCAAGGCAACGAUGCGUAGCCGACCUGAGAGGGUGAUCGGCCACACUGGACCUGAGCCACGGUCCAGACUCCUACGGGAGGCAGCAGUAGGGAAUCUUCCGCAAUGGGCGAAAGCCUUACGGAGCAACGCCGCGUGAGUGAUGAAGGUCUUCGGAUCGUAAAACUCUGUUAUUAGGGAAGAACAAAUGUGUAAGUAACUAUGCACGUCUUGACGGUACCUAAUCAGAAAGCCACGGCUAACUACGUG